GGGUCAGUAGGUUGGUCGUGCCACCGGUACGUACUGGUCUCACUGAUUCCUCCUUCCUGAAGAACCGUAAUGCCAUUAAUUAGGUGUUGCGGGGAAACAGGACUGUUGCUUUGAAAAAAUUAGAGUGUUUAAAGCAAGCUAACACUUGAAUACAUUAGCAUGGAAUAAUGAAAUAGGACGAUCGAUCCUAUUUUGUUGGUUUCUAGGAUUGACGUA
rnacentral:rRNA from 1 species